CCCUGACCCCCGGGGGCCCCAGACACCCGAGGCUCUCGAGACCGAAGAGGGCUGGGGGGAUCGCGCGGGGUGACCGGACGGUGGGGGAGCCGCUCUCGCUGGGAGCCUCAGGCCCCGCACUCACCUCAGCUUCUCCGCCGGGGCGUUGGCAGCGCUGCGCGGGGUCUCCUCGGCUGCCGGACAGGGGCACGCACCUGACGUCAGCACGCAGGAGACGCACGGUUGGGUGCCCGCGGAAGUGGGUGGGACGAGGAGCACCUAGAACACUCCUGGAGGCAAAGGAAGUACUGAAUGAGCAUCAGCAGAAGACAUAAAAGUGCCACACCGAGCAAUCAGCUUCAAAAGCCAUUUCUGAACUGGCACCAAGCUUGUCACAGGAGCAGAUCUACAAGCCCAAGAACCAAGACAGAGGCAGAAAGGUUCCUCCAGACUGGGUUGAGCUGGGGAAGCAGCUGCUGUUUACUCAGUCACCACCACAGCCACUGCUCUGUUUCGGCUGUCAGUCAAAACACAGGUCUCAGAACACAGAAAAGCAAGCGUGACCUCUGUUGCAGGCAGAGCAGAAUGGAACAGUGUCUCAGCGUCACAGGGAGGUGUCUGCCCAAGGACAAGCAGCAGCACAGAGGGAAUGGAAAUGGAGAAGGAGCAAGUGGGACAGCUCUGCCUAAGUGCAACUUACCUCUUGUGACCCUGUUUAUCCCUUUCUUAGUUUUGUCCAAUUUAAAUCCUGUUUUGAAAACAAAGGCCACAACUGUUCCUGUCUCUGCUCAGUGAACACGGCCAUAGUUCUUACCUCCAGGUCACACCUACUCUUGAGAAUAUUACCUUACCCAAACACUGACCGUGGUGAUUACCACAGGACAUAUUAUUAUCAAGAACCAAAUUUUAAUACUUCAAGAGCAUCCCCAACAAGUUACGGUGGGGUUUCAGAAACUUUCAUGACAUGUCAUCAAAGUGAGAAUCAUGAACUCUGAAAACUAAAGCUGAUUACCUCUUUGGAUACAAAAAACAAAAAACAUUAAACAUAUUACAAAGUACAAAAGAAGGAGGCAUCUCGUAGAAGAAAAACAAACUCUUGUUCCAAGUAGCAGGACACUUGUCCUAACAAGAGGGCAAAGCAAUUCCUUCUGGAAUUUAUAGUCCCAGGAACUAAAGCAGCUCCAGCCAAAAGGAGGUCCAGUCACGGGCUUUGAAGGGCUUUCAGCUUCAAAAACAAGCUCCAAGAUGGAGGUUCAGAUUUCCCAAAGCCAAAGUUGGAUUCUACAACAAAGAGAAGCUCUGCUUUACUUCUCACAAGCAGGCAGAGAGCCAGUGAUUCUGACUCCAGGUUGACCCCUCAGCGCUUGAGCUCUGAGCUUCUUAGGCUGCACAGCCUGGAACUGCUCCUCACCAGCAUCUCUCCUUCAUGUGACCAUCAAAAUCUCAACCGCUGUUCAGCAAGCUCCUGAGAUGUCCUAGGAUGUCCCCAGGCCCAGCUGCAACUUCAUAACAGGACUUCCUCAACCUCUCCCUGGAGGUUGAAGGGUGGAGGGAAUUGCUUUGUGGCACAGCAGUGAGGUCCUCAACAGUGUUCAGUGAGGGUCUCUGGAGGGAGUCCAGCAGGUUCCCAUGGAACCUGAACCCAGGAAGCAAAUACUAGGAUGGCUUCUGGCUCCCCAGCUACCGUCUCAGUUGGUGGUGAGCUCAUUUGAUCACUCUGUACUUCUUUAUCUGCAGCCCUAGGGAAACUUCAGUCUCCAUUCUGGGACUCUGCACAUAUUUCAGACUCCCAGGCACAAUUACAAAAGUCAAGGUCAGCUAAAACAGACCAAAAAGAUCCACCCUGAUCUCGUGGAUCUUGUCCAGGCCCAGGUUGUGUAAGCUUUCCAAAUUUAACAAGGUUUUCUUAAAAAGCUACUAGAAAUUUUAUUUUUGUUUUCUUUUUGCUGGAUCAAUUGACACAAUUGAGAAAAUGUGCGAAUGGUUUGCCAAAAUGAGAAACAGUUUUGUUUUAUCAUAGAGGAGGCGCUGUACCAGGGAUUGAACCCAGAGGCGCUUAAUCAUUGAGCCACAUCCCCAGCCUUUUUUAAAUUUUGAGAUAGGGUCUCACUAAGUUGCUUAGGGCCAUGACAAGUGGCUGAGGCUGGCCUUGAACUUGGGAUCCUCCUACCUCAGUCUCCCAAGUCCAUGGGAUUAGCAGCACUUGCCACCAACCCCAACAAAGAGAAACAUGGACUCUUUUUUUGUUGUUCUUUUUAGUUAUAUAUUAUAGUAAAAUCUGCUUUGGUAUAUUUAUAUAAGCACAGAAUAUAUCUUAUUCUAAUUAGGAUCCCAGGAUUGUGAAUGUAUACAAUGUUGAGAUUCACUAUGGUGUAUUCACAUAUGUACACAGGAAAGUAUAAUAAACCUGACAAAACUA